rnacentral:rRNA from 1 species
GUCUAUGGCCAUGCCACCCUGAACAAGCCUAAUCCUGUCUGAUCUUGGAAGCUAAGCAGAGUCGGUCCUGGUUAGUACUUGGAUGGGAGACCCACCUAGGAAUACCAGGUGCUGUAGGCA